AACGUAGGAGACAAACGUUAUCCGGAGUUACUGGGCGUAAAGGGCGUGUAGGUGGUUUUGUAAGUCUGGCGUGAAAUUUUUCGGCUUAACCGGGAAAGGUCGUCGGAUACUGCAGGACUAGAGGACGGUAGAGGCGUGUGGAAUUCCGGGUGUAGUGGUGAAAUGCGUAGAGAUCCGGAGGAACACCAGUGGCGAAGGCGGCAUCCUGGACCAAUUCUGACACUGAGGAGCGAAAGCCAGGGGAGCAAACGGG
rnacentral:rRNA from 1 species